UACAGAGGUGGCAAGCGUUGUUCGGAAUUACUGGGCGUAAAGGGCGCGUAGGCGGCCACCGCAAGUCGACUGUGAAAUCUCCGGGCUUAACCCGGAAAGGUCAGCCGAUACUGCGGGGCUAGAGUGCAGAAGGGGCAACUGGAAUUCUCGGUGUAGCGGUGAAAUGCGUAGAUAUCGAGAGGAACACCUGCGGCGAAGGCGGGUUGCUGGGCUGACACUGACGCUGAUGUGCGAAAGCUAGGUGAGCGAACGGG
rnacentral:rRNA from 1 species